UACCAUGCUGUAAGGAAGCCCAGGCAUCCAGAGAGGUGCCAUGGUGAUGUGCUGGCUUAGACUCAGCUGAGUUCCCAGAUCACAGCCAGCAUCAACCACUAGAUGUAUGAGUGAAUGAGCUUUCAGCAACUGAUUCCUGCACCCUGCCAUCAAGUCACCCCCAUUUCUGGAUUCAUCUAUUUCUGGCUGCCAUUAUAGCCUUUGCUGCUCACAGGGUAUUGGUAAAGAGAUUGGGAAGAAAGCUGGAAUCCAUGACGUUAGAACCCAAAUUAUGAAGUGCUCAGGCUUAUUGGCUAUUCCUGCCAGCAGCAAUCUGUGGCGUCAGCACUGUGAGCCUCAUCCAACAGGAACUUGAGGGCCAUGGCUGUCACCAAAAGUCCAGAAUUGGAGUGCAAGUACUUGAUCUUCCCUUCGUCAUCUACUUCCGGCCACCAGAACAGCCAUAGAGUCCCUGGCGGUGCCCUGCUUGAGGGACAGCACCAGGGCCUGGAGCGGUGUUAGCCAGAAGGCCUGCCUGUCACUCUCUGGAAGACAUUCUUUUUUAAAUAAAUCUUUCAUUUUGGAAUAAUUUUAGAUUUACAGAAAAGUGA